rnacentral:rRNA from 1 species
GACAGAGGCCUCAAGCGUUAGGCGGAAUCACUGGGCUUAAAGCGUGUGUAGGCGGAUCGUUAAGUGUCUUGUGAAAUCCCACGGCUCACCCGUGGAACGGCUGGGCAUACUGGCGAUCUUGGGCCAACUAGGGGCAACUGGAACAAGCGGUGGAGCGGUGAAAUGCGUAGAUAUCGCUUGGAACGCCAAAGGGUGAAAACAGGUUGCUGGGGUUGUGCCG